rnacentral:rRNA from 1 species
CACAAGCGGUGGAUGAUGUGGAUUAAUUCGAUGCAACGCGAAAACCUUACCUACCCUUGACAUGUCCGGAAUCCUGCAGAGAUGCGGGAGUGCCCGAAGGGAAUCGGAACACAGGUGCUGCAUGGCUGUCGUCAGCUCGUGUCGUGAGAUGUUGGGUUAAGUCCCGCAACGAGCGCAACCCUUAUCAUUAGUUGCUACGCAAGGGCACUCUAAUGAGACUGCCGGUGACAAACCGGAGGAAGGUGGGAUGACGUCAAGUCCUCAUGGCCCUUAUGGGUAGGGCUUCACACGUCAUACAAUGGUCGGUACAGAGGGUUGCCAAGCCGCGAGGUGGAGCCAAUCCUGAAAGCAGGCCUCAGUUCAGAUUGCAGUCUGCAACUCGACUGCAUGAAGCCGGAGUUGCUAGUAACCGCAGGUCAGCAAUACUGCGGUGAAUACGUUCCCGGGUCUU